rnacentral:lncRNA from 13 species
AUGUGGGAAGCUACACUGCUUAUACCUCUUCUGCAAACACCGAAGGACAGCUAUGGCCAAGGGGGAAGGACUGUGGNNNNNNNNNNNNNNNNNNNNNNNNNNNNNNNNNNNNNNNNNNNNNNNNNNNNNNNCAAACAAUAUAUUCCUGGCUAUCACUGGUGUAAGACAAUACCACACUCACAGUUAGGAACACAACACCUUUUCCUUGGUAAUAAGAAUGAAAUUGUGGUUAUACAUUUUAUUUUACAAGUACAAAAUGAGUCCUCAAAAUCAAUCGCUUAACUGCUUAAUAGUUUGACCUGCUGUAUAAAAGCUGAUAAUACAAAAAGCCUAAGGCUGUAUCGAUACCCGUGAACAUCGUUAUCUGAAAAGGAAACAUCUACAGUAAUCCACAACCUGCAUGCUUUGCAUUGGACUACAAUGACAAUACUGCUAGCUGUGUUAAUGACAAUACUGCUAGCUGUGUUAAUGACAAUACUGCUAGCUGUGUCAAUGACAAUACUGCUAGNNNNNNNNNNAUCAAUACGCUGUAGAAUAUAGAAUGCAUGAUAGAAUGAGAAUCAAUACGCUGUAGAAUACAGAAUGCACGAUAGAAUGAGAAUCAAUACGCUGUAGAAUAUAGAAUGCAUGAUAGAAUGAGAAUCAAUACGCUGUAGAAUACAGAAUGCAUAAUAGAAUGAGAAUCAAUACGCUGUAGAAUAUAGAAUGCAUGAUAGAAUGAGAAUCAAUACGCUGUAGAAUAUAGAAUGCAUGAUAGAAUGAGAAUCAAUAUGCUGUAGAAUACAGAAUGCACGAUAGAAUGAGAAUCAAUACGCUGUAGAAUAUAGAAUGCACGAUAGAAUGAGAAUCAAUACGCUGUAGUCACUAAGGAAUGAGGAACCGUGCCCUGCGAAUGACAAAAUGCAAUGAAACACAGAAAUGUUGAUCCGAUGUACAGAAGUGCCAAUAGACUAGCAGUACUGGCUUCAUUGUAGCGGAAUUCUGCUUUAAGAGGAUAUUUAUAUGUCCGCGGUGGUGUAGAUAACUGUGUUAAUGAAUGUCUUUGUGUGUUUGUGUACGUAAUUGUGUGUGGACAUGUUUCAAUGUACUGGUCAGAACAAGAAUAGUAAAAUAACAAAACAUUCGACCAACUGGGGACAUUUUGUUGUUCCCCACAAGGUCAAAUGCUGUUUCUAGGGGGUUUAAGGGCUAAGGUUGGGAUUAGUGUUAGAGUUUGUUUUAGGGUUAGGAGCCAGUGUUAGGUUUACGGUUUAGGGUACGAGUUAGGGUAAAUAUAAUUUUCAAUGGGACUGAAUUGUGUGUUCCCACAAGGUUAGUUGUACAAUACCGUGUGUGUGUGUGUGUGUGUGUGUGUGUGUGUGUGUGUGUGUGUGUGUGUGUGUGUGUAGUGGCAGCAGAAGACCAUCAGGGUCAGUAUGGAGAAUAUAAUGUCCUCAAACAUCCUGCAGAGGGCAGAGUUUUACUACUUAAAACACACAACAGCAAACCAAGGAAAUGAUUAUCCAUGCCUGCACAUUUGAUGCAAGAGGAAACAGAAAGCCUGCACUGCAGUUUCCAUACACUUUUACUGGUGUUAUGUAAGGCAAGAAUAUCUUCAAUAUGGUUGCACGUCCAGAAUAAUCUUCUCUACUGAAAGGAAGAGCAUAGAAAGCCUAUCCACCUGUGCACAAACUGGUUGAAUCAACGUUUGUAUCCAUGUCAUUUCAAUGAAAUUGAAGUUGAACCCACGCGGAAUAGAUGUAGUUGAAUUUACGUAUGUGCCCAGUGUGAAGGGCUCUGGUCAAAAGUAGUGCACAACAUAGGGAAUAGGGUUCUGUAGGGCUCUGGUCAAAAGUAGUGCCCUACAUAGGGAAUAGGGUUCUGUAGGGCUCUGGUCAAAAGUAGUGCCCUACAUAGGGAAUAGGGCUCUGUAUGGCUCUGGUCAAAAGUAGUGCACUACAUAGGGAAUAGGGUGCCAAUUGGGACCAUCCACAAUGCCAUAAAGAAAGUGCUGCUCUUGCCAGAAUGGGGAUGGAGAAAAAAGGAGGGGAAACCUAAUUUGCCUGUCAAAUUAUGUCUAUCUACCUGAGUGGUUAAUCAACCAGCCAAUCCUGUGCUCCGCCUUCACUCACUCACUCAGUCUUACUGUCUAGGUAGCUCAAUUGGUAGUUGUGGGUUCGGUUCCCACAGGGGAACCAGUACGAAAAAAAGUAUGAAAAUGUCUGCACUCACUACUGUAAGUGACUCUGGAUAAGAGAGUCUGCUAAAUGACUCACUAUUGUAAGUGGCUCUGGAUAAGAGAGUCUGCUAAAUGACUCACUACUGUUAGUGACUCUGGAUAAGAGAGUCUGCUAAAUGACUCACUACUGUAAGUGACUCUGGAUAAGAGUCUGCUAAAUGACUCACUACUGUAAGUGACUCUGGAUAAGAUUGGCUUCUGCUAAAUGACAACAACAAAAAUAUCAAUGUAAUUUUUUAAAAAGGUGCCAGAAUAAAUAGGCUCGGUUUGCUCCUAGCAGAACUCGGCGAGGUCAGUCACUUCCAACCUUUUUUGGGUACCGUACCACCAACUGAAUUUUGCUCUGCCUGGAGUACCCCUGAAGUACCCCCUCAUGUUCAUUUUACCAGUAGGCCUAUGGUCUCCUGAGUCUUCUCAAGUACCCCCUGUGGAUAGACUAGGUACCUCCAGGGGUGAAGAGAACGUCUGUGCUUGAAUACUCCCUAAAGACCUUCCCUCAAAAAAAUGAGAAGAAGAAAAAAAACAGGCAAUGUUACUGUUUGUCCCUCUUGAGAUGCCGUAGCAACAACAUAGCCAGCAUCCACUUCUUCAAAAUAGUCCGAAUUAAUCCAAGAAAUCGGUAUUAUAUUUAACUUUUUGCGGAGGAGAUUUUAGUUGCACAAUUUUACAACAAACUAAAGAUGUUUGGUGCAGUAUUUCUCAAGUUAAUUUUUUAUAUUUUUGCAUGAAAACUAAGUCGUCUCUCUUGAUUGACAACAAACGUUAUUUGAGUAAUCCGGUCCACAGUUCCCACUCCUAUUUUUUAUUUUAUUUUUUAUUUCACCUUUAUUUAACCAGGUAGGCUAGUUGAGAACAAGUUCUCAUUUGCAACUGCGACCUGGCCAAGAUAAGGCAUAGCAGUGUGAACAGACAACACAGAGUUACACAUGGAGUAAACAAUUAACAAGUCAAUAACAAAGUAGAAAAAAAGGGGAGUCUAUAUACGUUGUGUGCAAAAGGCAUGAGAAGGUAGGCGAAUAAUUACAAUUAUGCAGAUUAACACUGGAGUGAUAAAUGAUCAGACGGUUAUGUACAGGUAUAUUGGUGUGCAAAAGAGCAGAAAAAUAAAUAAAUAAAAACAGUAUGGGGAUGAGGUAGGUGAAAAUGGGUGGGCUAUUUACCAAUAGACUAUGUACAGCUGGAGUAGUACUGUUGACCAAUCACAGACAAAGGGGGGCGUAAGACUUUGGCCACCAAACUUCAACUUGCCGCAAGAAAAAAAUGAUUGUGUGAAANNNNNNNNNNAUCAAUACGCUGUAGAAUAUAGAAUGCAUGAUAGAAUGAGAAUCAAUACGCUGUAGAAUACAGAAUGCACGAUAGAAUGAGAAUCAAUACGCUGUAGAAUAUAGAAUGCAUGAUAGAAUGAGAAUCAAUACGCUGUAGAAUACAGAAUGCAUAAUAGAAUGAGAAUCAAUACGCUGUAGAAUAUAGAAUGCAUGAUAGAAUGAGAAUCAAUACGCUGUAGAAUAUAGAAUGCAUGAUAGAAUGAGAAUCAAUAUGCUGUAGAAUACAGAAUGCACGAUAGAAUGAGAAUCAAUACGCU